UGGGGAAUUUUGGACAAUGGGCGCAAGCCUGAUCCAGCCAUGCCGCGUGCGGGAAGAAGGCCUUCGGGUUGUAAACCGCUUUUGUCAGGGAAGAAAUCUUCUGAGUUAAUACCUCGGGAGGAUGACGGUACCUGAAGAAUAAGCACCGGCUAACUACGUGCCAGCAGCCGCGGCAAUACGUAGGGUGCAAGCGUUAAUCGGAAUUACUGGGCGUAAAGCGUGCGCAGGCGGUUUUGUAAGACAGAGGUGAAAUCCCCGGGCUCAACCUGGGAACUGCCUUUGUGACUGCAAGGCUUGAGUGCGGCAGAGGGGGGAUGGAAUUCCGCGUGUAGCAGUGAAAUGCGUAGAUAUGCGGAGGAACACCGAUGGCGAAGGCAAUCCCCUGGGCCUGCACUGACGCUCAUGCACGAAAGCGUGGGGAGCAAAACAGGAUUAGAUACCCUGGUAGUCCACGCCCUAAACGAUGUCAACUGGUUGUUGGGAAGGUUCCUUCUCAGUAACGUAGCUAACGCGUGAAGUUGACCGCCUGGGGAGUACGGCCGCAAAGGUUGAAAACUC
rnacentral:rRNA from 1 species